rnacentral:misc_RNA from 1 species
AACAAACUUUGAUAGCCAAAUGCUUAGGGUUUUUUCAGUUUGAUCCCUUCUCCCCCAGCACUUCCGACAAUAACUACCUUAGCUAACCCAAUUCAUACUCCUUUAAUCGCGCAUUAAUCGGUAAAAUUUGGGCUGUGGGUGAAAAAAAACUUAUGUGAGCCUAUGAAGGCUACACUUUGAAGAAUUCACCACCGUAACACUUUUCUGUAAGUACUUAUGUGAAAGAACUUAACGAAUAUUGGAAACGAUUUCGAGGAACAACUGAGUUAGGGUGCGGGAAUUCAAAGCAGGUCACGCUUUAAAAAUGAGAAAAUUGCGCAAGAAAUGACGUCAUCUAGAAAAUUCUGAUAUCCAAUUUUAGUCGCACAAAAAAUUGAAGUAGCAAGUAUUUCAACUCAAAGUUUACAGCGUGUCUAUCAACAUCCAAUUAUUAACGAAAAAAGAGUGAAACUUUUGGUUUCUCUGGUUUAAAUUUCUGCACAUGGAUUCAGUUUUGUUUGAAAACUACCAUGAAAAAUGGACGAGCGCCAGAUACGCAGCGGGAUUUGUAGGGGGGUGUAAAAUGAUGUUGGUAGAAUGCUGGCCUCAACAGAGGCGGCAGCGACGGCGUCCGACUGGCGGUUAUUUAUAUAACGCAAUUGCUAGCGGUGUGGUCGUUCAUGUACCCCAGCGCAGAGUAAAAGAGGAGUAGACCGUGUUGCUGAGGCUUCUCAGAUAGUGUGUCGCUGCCACAGAAUGGAAAACUGACUCGUUGUGUAAAGAGGUGUGAAACCGUUGCGUAUCAGACUAUAAUUGAUAUGAUGUUGACCGAGUGUUAGAUGUGUGGUUUCUCGUCUGGUGUUUUUUCACCACUUGCCAUUUUAUUGCUACAAGUCGCUUUUUAAGUUCAGAGUAUUUAAGACCGAUGGCUCUCGAUCGCAAACGUUCGGUUCGGGAUCGGGGUUCAGUUCGAAGUCGUGGCUCGUCGAGCGCUUCAAGCUCUGAUCCCCGAGAAAAGCUGAAGGACUGCUGUCGCCAGUUUGUGGCUUUCAUGUUUACACAGGUUGGAGUAGGAGCCCUAGUUGUUAGCUAUGCCAUAAUGGGUGCCUUUGCAUUCAUGGCGAUCGAAGGUGAAUCAGAAAACAGCGAUAACAACGACCACGUAGCCCGUCUACGCUCCGCCUGUCUAAGUCGGCUUUGGAACGUCACCGACCACCUUAACGUGCUAGAAGAAAGGAAGUGGAAGCUCGAUGUCCGUCAAGUGCUGCUCGAUCACCAGCAGGCCAUGGCGUUAGCCAUCAAAGGAGGAUACGACGGCCGAACCAAUCAAGAGCGUUGGACUUUUCCAUCAGCUCUUAUGUUUUCAUUGUCUGUUUUUACCAUGAUCGGCUUUGGACACCUUGUGCCACGCACGCAGUGGGGCAAAAUUGCAACCAUGCUGUAUGCAGUAUUCGGCAUUCCCGUUUAUGUCCUCUACUUCAUGAACAUGGGUCAGGUACUAGCCUCAUGCUUCAAGUGGUUCUACUGCAAGCUAGUACGCUGUGCAGAUGCACGUAAAGACAAACCAUUAGCGGAUGGUGAUCCUGCUGCCGGCAACGGCAACAAAGAAAUUAUUGGGGUAGUCUCUUCGGCUGCCGGUGACGAACUGUCGGACGAUUUGGACGAAGAAAGCUACUCUGGAUUAAUAAUUGUGCCAUCAACAGCUUGCCUUUGGGUCUGGCUAACAUACCUAGCCGUCGGAACAAUCAUGUUUGCUGAAUGGGAGAACUGGGAAUAUCUUGACGCAUGUUACUUUUGCGUUACCAGUUUAUGUAAAAUUGGUAUGGGUGACUUUGUACCCGGUGCAAAUAUUCAGGCUUCAAGCAACCAAACAAAAUUGAUUAUCAACUUUGUGUAUCUUCUUGUUGGAAUGGGAAUCAUUGCUAUGUGCUACAAUUUAAUGAAGGAAGAAAUACUUGUUCGUUUGCAAGAACUGAAAGCCGACUUGAUUGAACGGCUGCAAGACGUUAGCGGACGCAUGCGUCGUUGAUCUUCAAAAAGCCUCCGUGUUACUUUAUCCACACCAGCCAAGAUUAUGGAUCGGAUGAUGCGGUGUUAAAAUCACCUUGAACAAAUACUUGCCCUCCUUGAGCCGCCUGGCGCAUCAACAGGGAGUGCGCAGGCCGUGUUGUUGGAUUUAAAAUGUUGCUUUUCUUUCUCCACUCGCUCCCAACGGAGCUAUUUUCGGCAGAGCCGUCUAUUACACACGCACCUUAUCAGCACCUUAAGAAAAGUAACACGCGUAGUCUUUCGAUUCAACCUCCCUUAUGUUGAAUUGUAACUUCCUGCGUAUUAUUCUCAUUGUUUAUUUAACACAUAAAUUGUACCUUCACUAUCGACCGUGUUCCGGUUUUAUCUCUGUAUUUAAUCUGUCACUAUAUCGUUAUUUGGUCCAACUGUAUUUUUUGUUAAUGAACUGGAUUAAGUGGUA